GCGGACGGCUCAUUAAAUCAGUUAUCGUUUAUUUGAUAGCACCUACUACAUGGAUAACUGUGGUAAUUCUAGAGCUAAUACAUGCUAAAAAUCCCGACUUCGGAAGGGAUGUAUUUAUUAGAUUAAAAACCAAUGCCCUUCGGGGCUCUCUGGUGAUUCAUAAUAACUGCUCGAAUCGCACGGCCUUGCGCCGGCGAUGGCUCAUUCAAAUUUCUGCCCUAUCAACUUUCGACGGCUGGGUCUUGGCCAGCCAUGGUGACAACGGGUAACGGAGGGUUAGGGCUCGACCCCGGAGAAGGAGCCUGAGAGACGGCUACUACAUCCAAGGAAGGCAGCAGGCGCGCAAAUUACCCAAUCCCAAUUCGGGGAGGUAUGACAAUAAAUACUGAUACAGGGCUCUUUUGGGUCUUGUAAUCGGAAUGAGAACAAUUUAAAUCCCUUAACGAGGAACAAUUGGAGGGCAAGUCUGGUGCCAGCAGCCGCGGUAAUUCCAGCUCCAAUAGCGUAUAUUAAAGUUGUUGCAGUUAAAAAGCUCGUAGUUGAACCUUGGGCCUGGCUGGCCGGUCCGCCUCACCGCGUGCACUGGUCCGGCCGGGCCUUUCCCUCUGGGGAGCCGCAUGCCCUUCACUGGGCGUGUCGGGGAACCAGGACUUUUACUGUGAAAAAAUUAGAGUGUUCAAAGCAGGCCUAUGCUCGAAUACAUUAGCAUGGAAUAAUAGAAUAGGACGUGUGGUUCUAUUUUGUUGGUUUCUAGGACCGCCGUAAUGAUUAAUAGGGACAGUCGGGGGCGUCAGUAUUCAAUUGUCAGAGGUGAAAUUCUUGGAUUUAUUGAAGACUAACUGCUGCGAAAGCGUUCGCCAAGGAUGUUUUCAUUAAUCAGGAACGAAAGUUAGGGGAUCG
rnacentral:rRNA from 1 species